GUCUGACUUCCCUGCAGCAUCAGAAGAGGGAGAGACAGACACCAUGAUUCCUGCCAAGAUGCUACUGCUCUUACUGUCAAUGGCUUUGCUGGCCUUGGGCUCUGCUCAGGGCAUCAGUGACGAUAAUGAAUUGUUGAAAGAAAACUCCGGGGAAUCACAAGUCACAUCUCAAGAAGAAAAUGGAGAUCAGAACGGCAAACUGGGCAAAGAUGAAAACAAAGGCAAUGGACAACAGAAGAAGCCUCAUGACCAUGGUGUCCAGGGAGGCCAGGGCGGCCCAUUUAACAUAAGUGGCCCACAUCCCCCACAACGCCCACAUGGCAGCCCAGUUAACAUAAGUGGCCCACAUUGCCCACAUCAUCCUGGUGGCCAACAAGACCCUCAGAGACCAGUUGGCCAAGGUGGUCCAGGUGGUCCUCAUGGUCCAGCAGGCCAACAAGACCCAGAUGGGC
rnacentral:lncRNA from 1 species